rnacentral:tRNA from 1 species
CGCUGUAGCUCAAUUGGUAGAGCAACUGACUUGUAAUCAGUAGGUUGGGGGUUCAAGUCCUCUCGGCGG